rnacentral:rRNA from 1 species
UGGGGAAUAUUGGACAAUGGGCGAAAGCCUGAUCCAGCCAUGCCGCGUGAGUGAUGAAGGCCCUAGGGUUGUAAAGCUCUUUCACCGGGGAAGAUAAUGACGGUACCCGGAGAAGAAGCCCCGGCUAACUUCGUGCCAGCAGCCGCGGUAAUACGAAGGGGGCUAGCGUUGUUCGGAAUUACUGGGCGUAAAGCGCACGUAGGCGGAUCAGUCAGUUAGGGGUGAAAUCCCAGGGCUCAACCCUGGAACUGCCUUUAAUACUGCUGGUCUAGAGUUCGAGAGAGGUGAGUGGAAUUCCGAGUGUAGAGGUGAAAUUCGUAGAUAUUCGGAGGAACACCAGUGGCGAAGGCGGCUCACUGGCUCGAUACUGACGCUGAGGUGCGAAAGCGUGGGGAGCAAACA